CCUACGGGAGGCAGCAGUGGGGAAUAUUGCACAAUGGGGGAAACCCUGAUGCAGCGACGCCGCGUGGAGGAAGAAGGUUUUCGGAUUGUAAACUCCUUUUAUCAGGGACGAUAAUGACGGUACCUGAAGAAAAAGCUCCGGCUAACUACGUGCCAGCAGCCGCGGUAAUACGUAGGGAGCGAGCGUUGUCCGGAAUGAUUGGGCGUAAAGGGUGCGUAGGCGGCCUGCUAAGUCUGGAGUGAAAGGUACCGGCUCAACCGGUACAGGCUCUGGAAACUGGCGGGCUAGAGAGCAGGAGAGGGCGG
rnacentral:rRNA from 1 species